UAUUGUUUUGUUUAUUUGUUUUUCCUUUUUUUUUCUUCUUGAUGAAGAAUAGAAGACAGGAGUAGGAAUAAGGUCGAGUGGGGUUUGAUUAUUGAAGAAAAAUAGUAAGAAGAGUAAGAGA
rnacentral:ribozyme from 1 species